rnacentral:tRNA from 1 species
GCCUCGUCAACUCAGCGGUCAGAGUGCCGGCCUGUCUAGUCGGAAGCCGCGGGCUGCGGGCUUCGCCCGCAGAGCAAGUCCCGCACGAGGCGCCA